rnacentral:sRNA from 1 species
CAAUUCCCACAUUUUGGUGUUUAAGGGUAACUUCUGCGGGAGCAAGAAAGGCCCGUCUUCUUAACUCCAACAUGAUUUCCACUAAGGGGAAGGACAACCUAAAUACGCCCUAGGAUUAUCAGAUCUUAACCCUCUUUUUUAAUUUUUAUUUUUAUUUUUUGCUUGCCUCGCCUACCCUGACUUUACGCUUAAUUCUUAAAAUCUGUGAUUCCCGCUCCCCGGGCUGAGCCUAAAGUAGAUAUGAUUUGAGCAGGGGCCCCACCGAAAAAUUUAAUCGAACAACAGAACAGCGCGGUGGCGGGAACAAAAGAACAAAAGGGUUAUGAUCUCACUCCAGCCUGCUUUGAGUGCUGUGUUUUGCCACACCAUGCUGAAUUUUCGGUGCUAAGACAGCCAGAGUACUCGCUUGACCACCCAAGAGAGGUUUUUGCAUAGGUUCUUGUUGAUGUAUUUGUUUAUUUUUCUUUGCAAACACACACACACCACACCACACACAUAACUUGUGGUAACCUCUUGGCGCAACAAAUGGAACUCAUAGGAGCGCGGGUCACUGAAACAAGGGGCACACAAAUGAGCAGGAAGUCUACAUGGUAACGCAGCACCGCUACCCCGGUAAACUUUUCGUGCCACUCCUACAUCGCGUAUCAACGGAGGAACGGGCGACCAGAAGGGAAAUUGAACGAACAAUAGCAAAUUAUAUAUGACGUCGAGAGGAUGGUCCAUCCAUGCGCGCGAGUUCCAUGUUUCUCGACCAGAGGAUAACCAAAGGAGUUCUCAUGUUUCGCCACUUGUUGUUUGAGAG